CAUGUUGUUAUAUGGUUGGCUGAGCUGAGAAAAUAUCUUCCUCCCAAUCCCCCUCCCGCAUCUCACCUGCCCCUCCUCUCCUCUCUCGAUCCGCCGCCGGCGCUCUCCACAGAGACGGCGCCCUGCCAUGCUUCCUCCCUCUCCCAGCCGCCACCUCGCGCACCUCUCCUCGCCCACGAAGCGGCCCCUCCCGCUCUCCUCCUUCGCGUCGAGGCUGGCCUUCGUUCCCUUGCGCCGCCAUCCGCGGCCUCAACUCGUCGGCGAGCUCUCUAACCGUCGCCGGCGAGUUCGUCCUCAUCUCCUCCUCUCCGAUGUGCACGAGGUGGUUGGUCGAAAUCCACGUGGCUGUGGGGGCUCGGGAGGAGUGGUGCCUAUGAGAUUUCGCGGGUAUGGGCGAUUUCCUGGCCAGGAUGCUCCUCCUCGCUGUCGAUCUGGCCGACGGCAGGGCGGUUGGUUCAUCGUGAAGAACGGCCGUCGGAGCUCCUGACCUCCGCCCCCUACUCACACCAAAGGACGGUUCCUUUAUCUCCCUCUCUCUAUAUAUUUCCUGUAUCUUCAUUUUUUAGUUAAGCAGCACAGUGCUUCUGGUUAUGCCCCUGAUUAUACAUGAUACCACCUAUUUGUUUCUCUCAUCAAUUUAAUUUUUUGUCCAUAGUUCUAUGCUUUAAAUCGGUUGAGAAAUCUAGCAGUUUUAUUUGGCUAUUGUACAGAUCUGCUCUAAUACUGCCGAACUUCUCAGUUUUCAAAUUGCUUGCGGUGAAGAUUCGGUUAAGUGUAAUCUUCAGUCCCUGUAUUUGGAAAUUGCCUACUGCAAGGUCACGGUCCAUUUGCACCCAAUAGCUGUAGGUGAAAAAUAAAACAGUGUUGUUCUAAAGAGUAGAAAUUUCCCAUUUAUAUUUUCAUUUCAGGUCAUGGUUGUCUUACAAUAAUGUGGAGUGCUGCAAAAAAUAUGUCUUUGCUGGCGGGCACUUUGAAUUUGUCCCCAAGGUAUUAUUUCAACACCUGUUGACCAUAAAUAGGGAAAUUUACAACCAUCUGUAGAAUUGGCAAAUCAUAUUAUUUGUUAUAUAUUCUAUAGCAGAUAUGCUAAGUUUGUCCAGACAUAUUGUGCCUUCCAAAUCAGUUGAAAAUGAGUGACAUUAUUGUCGAACCAUGCAACUCUCUUUUAACUCUGAAGCGUCUGAAACUAUAUGCUGAUUGUGUGGUUGUUCUUGACAAUACAACUCCUAAUAGAAUAGUCCGCCUUUGGUUGAUUUAAAUUUGGGACCAAUGGAUUUGUGUCAGACUUCCAACAUUUGGUUUCCUGUUUUUCUUGUGGCAUGCUUGACCUGGUUUAAGUUCCUGCAGUACUUUUUAAAAUUUGAUGUGUGAGAUUUGAUUUUGUUUGUGAUUUGUCCAAGUCCCGCUCGCUGGUAUCUCUGGCUACUGCUACAUCUAUGGCGGUCUCAUUACCAUCAGGUACCUGGAUGCACGGUGACGGCGGACUGCGACGCUGGACAGUCGUGAAGGUUGGAAACAUGAGACAAAACCAGACCCCAAGGUGAAACCCCUAGCGCCAAUCACGCCUCCCCCAAUCCCCGCAGCCAUCAAGCAAGAAAAAUGAAGAAUGGCUAAUCUACUUCACCUCCUGGGGCGAGAGCCCUUCCCCUAGCUCCUUCAAAGCAUAGUCCACAGUAUACACCAAUUUUUUAUCUUUUCAUUAUUUAGCCAAAUAAAUGCAGCUUAUACAUUAAAGUGGUAGACCUUGCCCAUCAACAAAAGAUUGUCAUCGUUCCCUUUGUGCUAGAUUUUGCAGCUCAAGAAGAUCCACCCCACAACUGUCUGGAAAGUGUAUAUGCAUGGUAAGAGCAUUACAGAUCAAAACAUUAAUCAAUAAGAACAUGACUGGGUAAGAUAAUCAUAUUUUCAUCACAUAAUCAAAUGGAAGUAACAAAAUAAAUCUUAAUUCCAGACUUCCAGUAAAUUCACGACUUGAAAAAACACAUUACCUGGCUAUUGACGUGAUUUCAGCUGACACAACUGCAGGAAAACCAUUCCUGCCUAUGCCUUGGGACUUUCUGAUUGAAGACUUUCAUUUCUUGAAAAAAUAUCUUUUUCCUUCUACUUCUCCCUAGCUGCAAUAUCCAUUUAUAAGAGCUGUUUAUAAUAUACAGUGGCUGCCACUUGAACUUUAACCUUUUUGAUUCAUCUGGCCUGCUUGAUGUGUGACCUCGGCAUGUUCUUGCUGCAUGUGUGGCUCUGUAACAUUUUUUGAAUUAUAGCACGAUCCCCUUGCUUUAUGGAUGUUCGCUCGGUUGUAACUUGCUGAAGAGACUGAUGGAUUAUGGAUGAUUGCCAUAAGGUGCAGGUUCUAUUAUUGAAGUGUGUUCUGCUGGUUGCGAAGGAUGUCUGCACUAAAAUAUAAUGGUGUGAUAAAAGUUAUGUGCAUACUACUAUUAUUGAUUUCAUAAUAUAUGUUCUCUUUCUAUUUCGAUGGAUCCAAUUGAAUUAUUAUUUCUUUUGCUUCAGGUGUAACAUGAUUAUAAUGAGUUUUUUUUCGCCAACUAAUAAAUUAUAUGGUUUAUAUUUAUAUAGAAAUGCACUUCCAAUACACUUCAUGCAAUCUUGCCAGAACUAAUUAAGAAUCUAGCCCCCUAUAGCCUGAUUGAUUUGUCAAGAGAAGAUGUUUUUCUUUGGCCAAUCUGAAGUUUAUAAGCUCUGUUACUUUGGUUACCUGUCUUUUCUUCAUGAAUCCUAUGGUUUCCUCUUUUAAUAUGUUAUUAUAUUCAAUGCAUGUACACUUCUGUUGGUAUUUGGAUAGAUGGUUCCUCGUGCAGCUUACAUUUACAUUGGGUUGGCAACAUGGUGCGUUCAUUUGACCAGGGCUUAGCAAACGUAGAUUUAUUCAUGGACUGUAGGUGUAGUCUGAUUAAGUAUUGGUUUUACAGGAUAUUAUUGCAAUUGGGGACAUCGAUAUGUAGUCUGAUUUGUUCAUGGAUAUUAUUGCUCUUUGAUAGGCCAUCUGGUCAAAUCAUGUGCACCACAAGAUAACAACUCUGAAAUUUGUUCACUGGGAGGAGCUUGUCGUAACUGGCUCGGCAGACAAGAUUCACUAACAGGUUAAUAUUGAGGAUUCUGCUGGUUGGAGCUCCUGGAGGAUCAUCUGUAGCCUAGAAAGUGUGCUCUGGAUGUUGGAUCAGGUACAUAUCAGAUGUGGUAUGUUCAGUUAGUUCAACUUAAAUAUCUGAAUUUUCGCAUUAUUUCAACCAAAUUAUGUUAUGUACCUAUGAAGCUAUCGAUUCUGAUCUCUAGAAACUUUUAUAUGAACGGUACUUAUUAUCUAUUUCAGUGUCCAAAUAGUCAUUGAGGUUUUGUCUCACUUUCCUAACAUUUUGUUUCUUGUCAUUGAUGCCAAUCUUUAAAGUGAUAUACUUAUGAAAUGAUAUAUUUAUAGCUUGCUAUAUAUUAUUGUACGUGCAGAAAAUUAUUUUUCUUUAGAAUACAUAUGAUCUCAUGUUUUUUAGAGAGAACGUAUGAUCCCGUCUCAUAAAAUCUUGCGGAUUAGACUAAAUAUAUUUCGAUGGGCCAAAACGCGUCUUAUACAAUGUGUAGUUGUCCAGGUCCAUUUGUUGCCAUUCUUUCUUCUGUAGACAGCCUAUGUUUCUUGGCCUUGGAAAUUUCUUGGUCUAUGCUCGAUGAUGCCCUAGAUUGUUCCCCAUUUCCUUCUCUACCCAUUUUUUCCCAUUCACUACAGUGAACUUGUGGAGGAAGUUAGACAAAAUCUCAGUAAAUUAGAAGCGUCACAAACAGACAGAAUGAACUUUUAACAGGGGUUUGUGUCUUGCAGCCUCAACGAGGAGGGUUGCAUUUUCUAACCAGAUCUACAACAUCAUAUGCAAUAACCAUUCUCUAGGCCAAUGCGAUGCAGAUGAAGCUACACAUGAAACAAUCGAUCUAUUUGAAGGCAUACCUGCUGAUCUGGGGGACAUGUAGUACAACAUUUGAAAAAGGAUUUGAAGAUCAGAAAAUUCCUAUCAAUUACAAAAGUGCAAGUUCGAUUUGACCAUGGAGGAUGUUUCUCUGCUAGGUGUUUGCUGGUCCUUAGGUGUAGGCAACUUCUGUUUUCUAGACAAUCCCGUGGUUUAGCCAAAUACCAUGUCCCUGUGCCGCUCUCUUUUCUCCUUUGGUAAUGUAAGUAAUUAUGUUUAUGACCUUCACUUCGCUUCAUUUUAUCAGCUUAUUAUAUAUGUUUCACAAAGCCUUCUU